AUGAACGGUGGCGUGGGUGGUAGCAACACAAACCCAGGUGUGCUUGAUAGAGGUGAUGAUGACUCGUGGAAACGGAUAUGGAAACUCCCUUGCCCAAAAACUAUUCAGAUGUUCACUUGGCGCGUCAAGCAUGAUUCUCUUGCUCUCAGGAUGAAUGUGGCUCGGCGAGGCAUCCCUAUUGCUGAUACAAAAUGCCUGUUUUGCGGCAAUGCAGAUGAAGACGGGGCCCACCUGUUCAUUAAGUGCAAAAUGGUCAAGGGUGGAUGGAGAGAGCUGGCCAUGGAGGGGGAGCGUCGUGCUCUUGAGCGUAUAACGGGCGUGCAUGCAACCAUGGAUUUCCUAUGGGGGAUGGAUAUAAAAAAGCACCUCUUGGUGCUUACGUAUUGGCGGUUAUGGUGGACCAACCGGAACAAACUCCAAGAAGGGAUUCUACCUGCUGCAGCUGACGAGUUGGCUAGAAGGGCUAAAAGUAGUGUCACCGAGUUCAUGUAG
rnacentral:rRNA from 1 species